CCUACGGGGGGCAGCAGUGAGGAAUAUUGGUCAAUGGUCGAGAGACUGAACCAGCCAAGUCGCGUGAGGGAUGAAGGUCCUGAGGGUUGUAAACCUCUUUUGUCAGGGAACAAAGCCAGGCACGUGUGCCUCAUUGCGUGUACCUGAUGAAAAAGCAUCGGCUAACUCCGUGCCAGCAGCCGCGGUAAUACGGAGGAUGCGAGCGUUAUCCGGAUUUAUUGGGUUUAAAGGGUGCGGAGGUGGUUGGUUAAGUCAGCUGUGAAAGUUCGGGGCUCAACCCCAGACUGGCCGUUGAAACUGGCAGUCUUGAGUGGGAGAGAGGUAGGCGGAAUGCGCGGUGUAGCGGUGAAAUGCAUAGAUAUCGCGAAGAACUCCGAUUGCGAAGGCAGCAUACCGGCUCGACACUGACGCUGAGGCACGAAAGCGUGGGUAUCGAACAGGAUUAGAUACCCGAGUAGUC
rnacentral:rRNA from 1 species